rnacentral:rRNA from 1 species
GCGAACCCGCAAGGGUGAGCGGCGGACGGGUUAGUAAUACGAUCGAACGUACCCUGAGGCGGGGGAUAGGCGUGGGAAACUGCGCGUAAUACCCCAUGAUCUCUCCGGAGCAAAGGUUUACCACCUUGGGAUCGGCGAUCGUCCUAUCAGCUAGUUGGCGGGGUAAGGGCCCACCAAGGCUAUGACGGGUAGCAGGUGUGAGAGCACGACCUGCAACAUCGGGACUGAGACACUGCCCGGACUCCUACGGGAGGCUGCAGCGACGAAUCUUCCGCAAUGGGCGCAAGCCUGACGGAGCGACGCCGCGUGUGGGAUGAAGCGCCUUCGGCGUGUAAACCACUGUCAGGGAACAGAAACAAUGAUCGUUCCCAAAGGAAGAGACGGCUAACCCUGUGCCAGCAGCCGCGGUAAUACAGGGGUCUCGAGCGUUAAUCGGAAUUACUGGGCUUAAAGGGUGCGUAGGCCGGCCCGCAAGUGUCUUGUGAAAUCCCCUGGCUCAACCAGGGAAUAGCUCGGCAUACUGCGGGUCUUGAGGAAGGCAGGGGUUGCCAGAACUGUAGGUGGAGCGGUGAAAUGCGUAGAUAUCUACAGGAAUGCCGAUGGUGAAGACGGGCAACUGGGCCUUUCCUGACGCUGAGGCACGAAAGCGUGGGGAGCAAACAGGAUUAGAUACCCUGGUAGUCCACGCCGUAAACGAUGC